UGUGUGUGUGUGUGUGUGUGUAUAUAUAUAUGUGUGUGUGUGUGUAUAUAUAUAUAUAUACACACACACACACACACACACA
rnacentral:miRNA from 1 species